rnacentral:rRNA from 1 species
UACGGGGGGGGCAAGCGUUGUUCGGAAUUAUUGGGCGUAAAGGGCUCGUAGGCGGCCAACUAAGUCAGACGUGAAAUCCCUCGGCUUAACCGGGGAACUGCGUCUGAUACUGGAUGGCUUGAGAUUGGGAGAGGGAUGCGGAAUUCCAGGUGUAGCGGUGAAAUGCGUAGAUAUCAGGAGGAACACCGGUGGCGAAGGCGGUGCUCUGGGCCGAAACUGACGCUGAGGAGCGAAAGCGUGGGUAGCAAACAGG